rnacentral:rRNA from 1 species
AUUGAACGCUGGCGGCAGGCUUAACACAUGCAAGUCGAACGAGCGGCGGACGGGUGAGUAAUGUCUGGGAAACUGCCUGAUGGAGGGGGAUAACUACUGGAAACGGUAGCUAAUACCGCAUACCAUCAGAUGUGCCCAGAUGGGAUUAGCUAGUAGGUGGGGUAAUGGCUCACCUAGGAGACGAUCCCUAGCUGGUCUGAGAGGAUGACCAGCCACACUGUAACUGAGACACGGUCCAGACUCCUACGGGAGGCAGCAGUGGGGAAUAUUGCAAAAGGGGCGCAAGCCUGAUGCAGCCAUGCCGCGUGUGUGAAGAAGGCCUUCGGGUUGUAAAGUACUUUCAGCGAGGAGGCGUUACCCGCAGAAGAAGCACCGGCUAACUCCGUGCCAGCAGCCGCGGUAAUUC